AAGAAAUUAGUUUAAAAAAAACAUUAAUAUGUCAAAUUAAAAUUACUAAAAAAAGAUGUAUUUCUUU
rnacentral:tRNA from 1 species